CAGUAGCCGCGGUAAUACGAAGGGUGCAAGCGUUAAUCGGAAUUACUGGGCGUAAAGGGUGCGUAGGCGGUUGUUUAAGUCUGUUGUGAAAUCCCCGGGCUCAACCUGGGAAUGGCAAUGGAAACUGGACGGCUAGAGUGUGUCAGAGGAUGGUGGAAUUCCCGGUGUAGCGGUGAAAUGCGUAGAGAUCGGGGGGAACAUCAGUGGCGAAGGCGGCCAUCUGGGACAACACUGACGCUGAAGCACGAAAGCGUGGGGAGCAAACAGGAUUAGAUACCCCCGUAGUCCCUGUCUCUUAUAC
rnacentral:rRNA from 1 species